AUUGAACGCUGGCGGCAUGCUUUACACAUGCAAGUCGAACGGUAACAGCACUUCGGUGGCUGACGAGUGGCGAACGGGUGAGUAAUACAUCGGAACGUGCCUAGUAGUGGGGGAUAACUACUCGAAAGAGUAGCUAAUACCGCAUGAGAUCUAAGGAUGAAAGCAGGGGACCUUCGGGCCUUGCGCUACUAGAGCGGCUGAUGGCAGAUUAGGUAGUUGGUGGGAUAAAAGCUUACCAAGCCGACGAUCUGUAGCUGGUCUGAGAGGACGACCAGCCACACUGGGACUGAGACACGGACCAGACUCCUACGGGAGGCAGCAGUGGGGAAUUUUGGACAAUGGGCGCAAGCAUGAUCCAGCAAUGCCGAGUGCAGGAUGAAGGCCUUCGGGUUGUAAACUGCUUUUGUACGGAACGAAAAGCCCUCUUCUAAUACAGGAGGGUCAUGACGGUACCGGAAGAAUAAGCACCGGCUAACUACGUG
rnacentral:rRNA from 1 species